UACGUAGGGUGCAAGCGUUAAUCGGAUUUAUUGGGUUUAAAGGGUGCGUAGGCGGCUUUGUAAGUCAGUGGUGAAAUAUGGCAGCUCAACUGUCAAGGUGCCAUUGAUACUGCAGAGCUUGAGUACAGAUGAGGUAGGCGGAAUUGACGGUGUAGCGGUGAAAUGCUUAGAUAUCGUCAAGAACACCUAUAGCGAAGGCAGCUUACUAGGCUGUAACUGACGCUGAGGCACGAAAGUGUGGGGAUCAAACAGG
rnacentral:rRNA from 1 species